rnacentral:rRNA from 1 species
UGGGGAAUUUUGGACAAUGGGGGAAACCCUGAUCCAGCCAUCCCGCGUGUGCGAUGAAGGCCUUCGGGUUGUAAAGCACUUUUGGCAGGAAAGAAACGUCAUGGGUUAAUACCCCGUGAAACUGACGGUACCUGCAGAAUAAGCACCGGCUAACUACGUGCCAGCAGCCGCGGUAAUACGUAGGGUGCAAGCGUUAAUCGGAAUUACUGGGCGUAAAGCGUGCGCAGGCGGUUCGGAAAGAAAGAUGUGAAAUCCCAGAGCUCAACUUUGGAACUGCAUUUUUAACUACCGGGCUAGAGUGUGUCAGAGGGAGGUGGAAUUCCGCGUGUAGCAGUGAAAUGCGUAGAUAUGCGGAGGAACACCGAUGGCGAAGGCAGCCUCGUGGGAUAACACUGACGCUCAUGCACGAAAGCGUGGGGAGCAAACAGG